AUGCCUAGAUCCUGUGUAAAUGGAAAUUUCAUUGAUAAGACCUCCUCAAUUGUAGCCAAUAUUUUAUUGCGAAUAAUUCCGACAACCUCAGGAGAAAAAAGGUUUACUUAUUAUAGAGAUGGGAUGUUGGCUCAAUCCGAAGGAAAUUAUGCGGAAGCUUUGCAAAAUUAUUAUGAAGCUACACGACUAGAAAUCGAUCCCUAUGAUCAAAUUUAUGUACUCUAUAACAUAGGCUUUAUACACACAAGCAAUGGAGAGCAUAUAAAGGCUUUGGAAUAUUAUUUACGGGCAAUAGAACGGGACCCCUUCUUACCGCUAGCUAUUAAUAAUAUGGCCGUGAUCUGUCAUUACGGAGAAUAG
rnacentral:rRNA from 1 species